GACGAACGCUGGCGGCGUGCUUAACACAUGCAAGUCGAACGGAAAGGCCCUGCUUUUGUGGGGUGCUCGAGUGGCGAACGGGUGAGUAACACGUGAGUAACCUGCCCUUGACUUUGGGAUAACUUCAGGAAACUGGGGCUAAUACCGGAUAGGAGCUCCUGCUGCAUGGUGGGGGUUGGAAAGUUUCGGCGGUUGGGGAUGGACUCGCGGCUUAUCAGCUUGUUGGUGGGGUAGUGGCUUACCAAGGCCUUGACGGGUAGCCGGCCUGAGAGGGUGACCGGCCACAUUGGGACUGAGAUACGGCCCAGACUCCUACGGGAGGCAGCGGUGGGGAAUAUUGCACAAUGGGCGGAAGCCUGAUGCAGCAACGCCGCGUGCGGGAUGACGGCCUUCGGGUUGUAAACCGCUUUCGCCUGUGACGAAGCGUGAGUGACGGUAAUGGGUAAAGAAGCACCGGCUAACUACGUG
rnacentral:rRNA from 1 species